rnacentral:rRNA from 1 species
CGUGAGAUGUUGGGUUAAGUCCCGCAACGAGCGCAACCCCUAUUGUUAGUUGCUACGCAAAGAGCACUCUAGCGAGACUGCGUUGACAAAACGGAGGAAGGUGGGGACGACGUCAAAUCAUCAUGCCCCUUAUAUCCUGGGCUACACACGUAAUACAAUGGCGGUCAACAGAGGGAAGCAAAGCCGCGAGGCAGAGCAAACCCCCAAAAGCCGUCCCAGUUCGGAUUGUAGGCUGCAACUCGCCUGCA